rnacentral:lncRNA from 1 species
UAUUUGCACUCAUUUUCAGAGGUAAAAAAAUCUCUUGGAUGGCCGGUGACCCCCAAAUUUUAUUCCAAUUUUAUAAAAUAGAGACAUCAAGCUUUACAGUAUGAAAAUAUGAGCAACUUCUGUCAUUUAUUUUGCUCUGAAAAUUCAAUCAAAGAGAUUUUAUGUCUGUUUUCCCUAUAUUUAGCCUAUUUGCACUCAUUUUCAGAGGUCAAAAAAUCUCUUGGAUGGCCG